rnacentral:rRNA from 1 species
UACGGAGGGUGCGAGCGUUGUCCGGAAUCAUUGGGCGUAAAGGGCGCGUAGGUGGCCCGGUCAGUUCGUGGUGAAAGCGCGGGGCUCAACCCUGCGUCGGCCAUGAAUACUGCCGCGGCUGGAGCACUGUAGAGGCAGGCGGAAUUCCGGGUGUAGCGGUGGAAUGCGUAGAGAUCCGGAAGAACACCGGUGGCGAAGGCGGCCUGCUGG